UACGUAGGGGGCAAGCGUUGUCCGGAUUUAUUGGGCGUAAAGAGCUCGUAGGCGGUUUGGUAAGUCAGGUGUGAAAUCUCCACGCUCAACGUGGAGGGGCCACCUGAUUACUGCCAUGACUGGAGUCCGGUAGAGGAGUGUGGAAUUCCCGGUGUAGCGGUGAAAUGCGUAGAUAUCAGGAGGAACACCGGUGGUGUAGACGGCUUUCUGGACCGUAACUGACGCUGAGACACGAAAGCGUGGGGAGCGAACAGG
rnacentral:rRNA from 1 species